GAUAAUAAGAAAGAAUGGUUUAUCCCCCUCUUAACCCAACGUAUAGAGUUUCAGGAGUGGUAAUGCGAGGCUCUAAAAGGCUGAUAAGCCUUUAUUUGUGGACACCAUCCGUUACUGUCAAACUUCAUUCUUCCUUCUACUCAUCAAGCGUAUUUCCUAAAUCCCAAAUACCACUACAGCUGGAGACUCUACGAAGACAAUUCAUUAAAUAGGGUUAAACAUGAGGUGUACGAUCACUAAUUCCCCAACUGUCCAAGGAAAGGCACAUUCUGUGGUAAGGUACAUAUGUUUCACACUUACAUUCUCCAAAUCUUCAUCUCAACCAUUCCAUACUUACUCUUAUUGCUAUAUGCUAUCAACAGAUUGCUAGAUUCCACGACGCAGUUAGAAUGCUCAGGUGUCAGGCCACGGUGAGGUUGAGGAGCACCAUGAUGGCAUGUGAGUUGCCACGGUAAAGUUAGUUUUCAUAUUAUUUUAGCAAACUUGAAACUAAUGAAAAAAAUAUGUAUGUUGCAAGUGAAUGGUGGACCAUGUACGAAACUGACUGCGAGGUUUUACAGUAGUUGGUUAGUUGUUAGUGUGCUCGCACAAACAUUAUCCUCCUCACCCCGUGAAAGGAAUUAGAGCACAUUCUCCCUCAUCCACACAAAUAAGCGCGCAACAGACUGGGGUACGAGAUGCUUCAGAAGCUAGUGUAUUGUCACUACAAUAUAAAUUUACAAGAGAAGUUGCUCCGUGUCGAAGGAAGAAAAAAAAAGAA